CAGCAGCCGCGGUAGUACGUAGGUGGCAAGCGUUGUCCGGAAUUAUUGGGCGUAAAGGGCUCGCAGGCGGUUUCUUAAGUCUGAUGUGAAAGCCCCCGGCUCAACCGGGGAGGGUCAUUGGAAACUGGGAAACUUGAGUGCAGAAGAGGAGAGUGGAAUUCCACGUGUAGCGGUGAAAUGCGUAGAGAUGUGGAGGAACACCAGUGGCGAAGGCGACUCUCUGGUCUGUAACUGACGCUGAGGAGCGAAAGCGUGGGGAGCGAACAGGAUUAGAUACCCCCGUAGUCCCUGUCUCUUAUAC
rnacentral:rRNA from 1 species